GUAGGUGGCAAGCGUUGUCCGGAAUUAUUGGGCGUAAAGCGCGCGCAGGCGGUCCUUUAAGUCUGAUGUGAAGGCCCACGGCUCAACCGUGGAGGGUCAUUGGAAACUGGGGGACUUGAGUACAGAAGAGGAAAGCGGAAUUCCAAGUGUAGCGGUGAAAUGCGUAGAGAUUUGGAGGAACACCAGUGGCGAAGGCGGCUUUCUGGUCUGUAACUGACGCUGAGGCGCGAAAGCGUGGGGAGCAAACAGGAUUAGAUACCCUGGUAGUCCACGCCGUAAACGAUGAGUGCUAAGUGUUAGGGGGUUUCCCGCCCCCUUAGUGCUGCAGCUAACGCAUUAAGCACUCCGCCUGGGGAGUACGGCCCGCAAGGCUG
rnacentral:rRNA from 1 species